AGCAGGGCUGGAUUUACUGUUCAUCUGCAUCUGCACAUUUGCAGAUGCCUGUGAUCACAACAGCUGGAGUUAUAUACAGGGUAUAGUAUAUCGAUGGGGGGAAAUAUGCACAGAGUAGAAGAGAAUGGGAAGAAAUGCAUCGUGAUCCACGGUUUUAGUGGCUCUUCUUUCCAGGAAGGAGGGUUCAUCAUCACUCCUGCACAGGAGAUCAGUCAAAAGUGAAACCUGAACUUGAAGUAUUGAAAAAACAGCACAGAAAUGGAGAGCUUACAAAAAACCAGAGCGAUAAAUUCUCUAUCAAUGCUAGACUUCACACUGGUAUCUGAAAGACUCCAGUCAUGUGCUCUGCCAUCUCUCGAGAUUUUUGUCACAAGUUGCCCUCCUGAUAAGAUUAAAGAUCCUGACAUGUAAAAUGAGACAAAGAAGAUGGAUAUGGUGGGCUGGUGAUUUCCAGCAAUAAAUCUGGGUGCUACAUGAAAGUGUGUUAAGUA
rnacentral:lncRNA from 1 species